rnacentral:lncRNA from 1 species
UUGGCGGUUGGGAUGUUCUUGGUCGCUAUAACCAGUUUAUUUCUUGGAAGUGAAUAUCUAUUUCAAGGAUCGAUUCAAGAUCGGAGUACAUUGAAAGUAAGGCUAUGCUUAUAAAGUAUUUUAUUUUUUCAUUUAUUUUAUUUUCUUAAAUUUAUUUUUGCAUUUUCGAAUCUAUUUUUAUUUUCUUUUUCAUAUUUCCUUAUUUUAUUAUCUU